rnacentral:rRNA from 1 species
CCUACGGGCGGCAGCAGUGGGGAAUAUUGGACAAUGGGCGAAAGCCUGAUCCAGCCAUGCCGCGUGUGUGAAGAAGGCCUUCGGGUUGUAAAGCACUUUCAGUGGGGAAGAAAGCCUUGGGGCUAAUACCCUCGAGGAAGGACAUCACCCACAGAAGAAGCACCGGCUAACUCCGUGCCAGCAGCCGCGGUAAUACGGAGGGUGCGAGCGUUAAUCGGAAUUACUGGGCGUAAAGCGCGCGUAGGCGGUCUGAUAAGCCGGUUGUGAAAGCCCCGGGCUCAACCUGGGAACGGCAUCCGGAACUGUCAGGCUAGAGUGCAGGAGAGGAAGGUAGAAUUCCCGGGGUAGCGGUGAAAUGCGUAGAGAUCGGGAGGAAUACCAGUGGCGAAGGCGGCCUUCUGGACUGACACUGACGCUGAGGUGCGAAAGCGUGGGUAGCAAACAGGAUUAGAUACCCUAGUAGUC